ensembl:lncRNA
CCAUUAGAAAAUUUUUCCUCUUCUUUACAAAAGGGGGGAGCAACUAGGUCAACCCCGGGGGUAAGAUGUGGCGAGGAAGAGUUUUCAGGGGCCAUUUUGAGCAAUUCAAACUAUUUUUUAAAAUUGCUUUCAUGGAGUAUAAAUAUUAAAAAAAAUAAAAAUAUAUAAAUAUAAAUAUAAAAAUAAACAAAGGACGCUCGUUUUAAUCUUCUCAUUUGAAACAUCAGAAAAGGUGAGAAGAAUGGCUAAUUAUAGUUCUCUAGCACAGAGCGGGCACUCCGUUUAUUCUGGACCAUGGACACACCAUGCUCCAGCUAGAAUCUUCUCCGGAGAUGAACUUUAGCUGCUAUACUCAAAACGAUCGGCGCUAAUUGGCCAAUCGGAAAAAUGGGCAUACAAACCCAGACCACAGAAUGUAUUCCUAUUACAAAGUUCUUUUUAAAAAAUGAAGCAAUAUUCUAAUCCAAAGCAAAUGAAACGAUUUUGGCUACCCAUUACAUGCGGUAUUUGCCAGGAAUGGUGACCACCAAAGUUAGUACCUUGAAUUGCUGUAAUGCCUUCUUUCCGCGAAGAUCCAAGCUCUUCCCCAAAAUAAUCUCACUGAUCUGCACAAUCCCCCUGCAGAAUGCACGAGGAACACGUUUUACCAAGUGGAAAACCAAAGGACAGAGAGCCAAAGAUUUAUCUAGGAAUACGAUGGAUGGAUGUAGUGCAAAAGUCAGGGCUGAGCUCCCGGGCUCCCUUCAAGGUCGCCUCUCACGCCCUGGCCUCCUCCGCACUCGUUUGGACGGAGUUGCCUCCUACAGCACGCCAGAUCUGCCCCAGUCUGUUUUAGGGGGCGGGAUUUCGGGGGAACCUUUGCACGCGAUGUUGCCUUGUUUUCACUUAUUCCAGGAGCAUUUGGAGCAUGACAUCAAUGAGUCACUUUUGCGCUUCCUGGCCUCAUCCUGCUGUUGGAGAGAAGAUGGUAUUAUUGAUUUUGGCCAAGUCAUUUGUCUCUGCCUUCCGGAAAUCUUUGGGGAUCCUGGAGAAGACCCCCCCUACCCUGUAGUGUCUUGGGAGGUCACUUUGUGGUUUCUAAGUUCCAUGAUUCUAUCACCAUCACAGCACCAGCAACUGAUUGUGUGGCAAGGAGGAUAGAGUGCUGAACCUAAAGUCAGAAAGAACUAAAGUUGAAUCCUGUCUUCAACACUUCCUGGCUGAGUGACUAUGAAGAAGAAACUUCUCUCAUCUAUAACGUUUCCUCACCUGCAAAACAGACAAUAAUACCUAUAGAAAUUACCUCACAAGGUAAUUGCAACUCAUGUGAUAUGAUUUCAGACUUCAAAACACUGUAGAAAUGCUGGUUAUCAUAAUAAAUAAUUUAUAAUAUUUAAUAUCUUAAUAUAC